ensembl:lncRNA
CAGACACUGUCACCAGAGCUCAUAAAUGUAAAAUUUACACUAUCUACAGAACUGUCACCCCGGGAAAACACAUGUGUAGGACAGUGUGUAUAGGCCUACAAGACAUUGCCCGAAAAAUGUGUCUUCUAGUUUAAACAAAACUCUCGAUUCUUUUAAGCAACACUUUAAACAUUUUACGUCCUAAAGGGUUAGGCUUAGAAGGCAUGUAAUACGCACGUUUCUUAUAAAACACUGUCUUUAAAACAUUUACCUCCUAAAGGGACCUAUUUAGAAGGUAAGACAGCUUUGGCUGUGAGCUUGGCGCGGGUACUACGGUGCUGCGUGUUUGAACAUAGACUUAGUAGUGCAAGAGGCUGUCAUCUGGAACCAUCACUGCAAGCAAGCAGGCCAGAGAGCUGUUUGGAGCCACAAUUGAGUCUGUGCCAGUCACAGCAGAAUAUACUGCUGUGUUAAAUGUGAUGACUGUGGCUAGUCCGGCUGAAGGCAUUCUCAGUGUUGAGGCAUUAGCCAAGCACACUGCUGAGGGUAUUCAGGACACUGACUCCAAAGCCCCCACAUCCACUAUCUCAACAAACAAUAAGACCAGCACCGUUGGAGCAAAGAAAAAUGAUGGCUCUAAUCCGACUGCUACAGUGGCUGGUCCAACUCACAGGCUCCCUAAUGACAAUGUGAGUCAGGAGGGUGAGCUGGGAGGCAUGAAUAGUAUACUGCCUGAUAAUUUCCU